GUCCCUGUAGCGCAAUGGAUAGCGUGUUAGAUUUCUAUUUCAAAGGUCGUGGGUUCAAAUCCUACCUGGGAUG
rnacentral:tRNA from 1 species